rnacentral:rRNA from 1 species
UCUGUUUGAUCCUGGCAGAUGCUACUGCUAUUGGGAUUCGAUUAAGCCAUGCAAGUCGAACGAGUUUAGACUCGUGGCGUACGGCUCAGUAACACGUGGAUAACCUACCCUUAGGACUGGGAUAACCCUGGGAAACUGGGGAUAAUACCGGAUAGGCAAUUAUUCCUGUAAUGGUUUUUUGUUUAAAUGUUUUUUCGCCUAAGGAUGGGUCUGCGGCCGAUUAGGUAGUUGGUUAGGUAAUGGCUUACCAAGCCUUUGAUCGGUACGGGUUGUGAGAGCAAGAGCCCGGAGAUGGAACCUGAGACAAGGUUCCAGGCCCUACGGGGUGCAGCAGGCGCGAAACCUCCGCAAUGUGAGAAAUCGCGACGGGGGGAUUCCAAGUGCCAUUCUUAACGGGAUGGCUUUUCAUUAGUGUAAAGAGCUUUUGGAAUAAGAGCUGGGCAAGACCGGUGCCAGCCGCCGCGGUAACACCGGCAGCUCUAGUGGUAGCAGUUUUUAUUGGGCCUAAAGCGUCCGUAGCCGGUUUAAUAAGUCUCUGGUGAAAUCCUGCAGCUUAACUGUGGGAAUUGCUGGAGAUACUAUUAGACUUGAGAUCGGGAGAGGUUAGAGGUACUCCCAGGGUAGAGGUGAAAUUCUGUAAUCCUGGGAGGACCGCCUGUUGCGAAGGCGUCUGACUGGAACGAUUCUGACGGUGAGGGACGAAAGCUAGGGGCGCGAACCGGAUUAGAUACCCGGGUAGUCCUAGCUGUAAACGAUGCGGACUUGGUGUUGGGGUGGCUUUGAGCUGUCCCAGUGCCGAAGGGAAGCUGUUAAGUCCGCCGCCUGGGAAGUACGGUCGCAAGACUAAAACUCAAAGGAAUUGACGGGGACCCGCACAAGCGGUGGAUGAUGUGGAUUAAUUCGAUGCAACGCGAAAAACCUUACCUACCCUUGACAUGUCAGGAAGCUCUUGUAAUGAGAGCGUGCCCGCAAGGGAGCCUGAACACAGGUGCUGCAUGGCUGUCGUCAGCUCGUGUCGUGAGAUGUUGGGUUAAGUCCCGCAACGAGCGCAACCC